rnacentral:lncRNA from 1 species
AGAGGCAGCCUCCGCGGCCAGCCCAGGGGCAGAGGGGCUCCGGGUCUCAGCGUCUGCGGGUGGCAGGUGGCGUCAGGUCUGCACGACGGAUGCUGGGAGGCCUGCAGACGCCCCGAGGAGCCACGGCUUCCUGAGCACACUCGAGAGGCCCGCGCCCCGGGCAAACUGCAUGGACUGUGCUCUGCAGGCGCCGCGGCCUUUCCCCGUUCGCUCUCGAGGCCCCUGCGGCCCCCGUCCUACCCUGCCCCAGCUCCUCCAGCAAAGGUCCCCGAACCCGAGGCUUCUGUGCCGCCUUGACAAUGGCAGCCCCCUCCUCUGCCACCGCGGGGAAGUCCCGGAACUCCUAGACUUUGUUCUCUUCUUUUCCCGCCGGGGCUGCUAGGGAAGCACUCUUAGGGCCGGCCUCCAGCCUUGGGUUCCCGCCCGGGCCUCGCCGCGCGCCUUCCGCUCUCCACGGGGCCUGCAGCCCGGGACCUGCUGCCCGCCACCCGCUACCCAGGGCUUCCUGCCGGCCGCCAGCGCCACCUGACCCUCCGACGAGAGCCCAGCACUGCCCAACCCAGGCCUUCUGUAGGGUCCCCUCCUCUCCACGUAUGGCCCCAUUAUCCCCACGUGGUCCCCCUCCUCCCCAUGGCUGCCCCAUGCCCAUGUAGGGUCCCCGUUUUCCUUGCGUGGGUUCUUCGUCCUCCCCAUGUGGGGUCCCGGCCCUCUCCAGGCUUCUGGAAGGCCGGUGAGCUGGAGACAAGCAUGGUCAGGGAGCCCCGGGAAGGCUGAGCAACGGCAGGAAAGGGACGGGCUCAGCGCAUUUCUGGGAAGUAAAGUGGCGGGAUCCCGAGGCAGCAGGAGUCCUGGCACCCAGGACCACAGUUUGAGAGGCCUGGCGCAAAAUGAAAAUGCAGGGCUCCUGCUCAGCAGUAACUCAGACGUCAAGAUGGCGACAGCAGAGCUUCCACCCAAGCCCGGAGCCCCGCCAGGUGCAGGCCGCACACCCGCGAACCCGCCCUGCUGCAUCUGCGAGUGGGGCGCCCAGGGAGGCGAGGGGCUCUGGGGGCUGCCUGGAGAGGCCUGACCCCUUCCUUUCCCGGAGGCCGCUCCCGAGCUAUGCCAAACCCGGGCUGCCGCGGCGCUGCCACCUGCUGGCCACCUCGGGCCCCUGCCGCGUCCCUCGGAGAGAAGGACCUUGUGUGGAGUGGGCAAGCGGCUUGGUGGCCCGGACCUCACCUUCACAGAAGAGAAGCUAGCCGGGGAGGGAGUUCACAUCGGCUACAGCACCCCAGUGACGGUGGCAGCACGUUACUGUCGCUCUUGAACUGUCCUGUGCCUUACAUCAGUAAGGUAGAGAUGAUGACCCCCCACUACAGCAAGAGACAUUCUGCCACCAUGAUGAAAGCUGGCCUGAGAUGACGCUGACACAGAAGUGGAAAGAAAGACAGGAAGAUGGCUGCAGGGUGACACCUGUGAGCUGCUGGAUCAAGCCGGGCCUGCAGGGCUGAACUUUGCAGUGAAUCCCCUGGACUGUUUAAGUCAUGCUGACCAGCCACUUGUGAUGAAAGGUGUCAUAACUGACACUCUGCCCAAAGCCUCCCAAGUUAGACCCAGGACCGAAGACUUCAGAGGCCACAGUUUAUCCCACGGAUAAUGUGCUGCUUGGAAGAUUAAUUACUGUCUGAGAAGAACAGCAGGGGAACAGGUGGAGAAUAGGGCAGGGACUUGCCUUGGGUUCAGAUGCAGCUCCAUACAGAACAGUGACACGGGCAGUUUGUCUUCACCCCUCCCCUACACUGGGGUCCUUUGCCCACUUGCACCUACCUCCCCUAGCUCCAACCUUUCCCCUGCCUCUGUGUCAUCCUCUCUCCACCUGAGGGAGGGAACGAGCUGUGUGUUCGUGGCAGCUUCUUCGUGAGACCAGCAGCUCUAAGCUGGGCGUUGAAGAGGUUGGUGAGUGAGCAGGGCGCGGUGGCUCACGCCUGUAAUCCCAACACUUUGGGAGGCUGAGGUGGGCGGAUCACUUGAGCUCAGGAGCUCACGAGCAGCCUGGCCAACAUGGUGAAACUGUCUCUACUAAAAAUACAAAAAUUAGCCAGGUGUGGUGGCAGGCACCUAUAACCCCAGCUACUUGGGAGUCUGAGGCAGAAGAAUCACUUGAGCCCAGGAGGUGGAGGUUGCAGUGAGCUAAGAUUCUGCCACUGCACUCCAGCCUGGGUGACAGAGGGAGACUCCGUCCCCUCCCCCCACCCAUAAAAAAGGCUGGUGAGUGAAACUUGGGCCCCUGCAGGAAAAGCACUGUGGUCCCAGCUGGCUGAUGGGUACAGGGACACAGCCCAACCAUCAGAUGCUGAGCCCCCUGCCCACUUGGAACCCAGCCCAAGAGCUUUUCUUCAGCCCUGGACCCCUGGCGCUGGUGAGCUCUGGUUUCUUCCUGACCUCCACUGGCCACCGGGCUGGAGAUCCCCUGUGGGAUCCCACCCCAGCCCUGGGGAGGGGCCAGAGGGAAGCUGGAGGCAGAGUGGGCAGCUGCUGAACUCUGAGCUGCCAGAGGUAGUGAACAGGGUUGUCAGACUGUUUCAACUCAAAUUCCAACACAGACACAAAAAACCAACAACAAUUAUAAUCCCCAAUAAAUAAAUUUAACAUUUCGAUCUUUCCCUUUUGUUUUAGAGAUAGGGUCUUGCCCUGUUGCCCAGGCUGGAGUGCAGUGGCACAAUCACAGCUCACUGCAGCUUUGAUCUCCUAGGCUCAAGAGAUCUUCCCUGCUCAGCUCCUGAGUAGCUGGGACUAUAGGCGUGCACCACCACACCCAGCUAAUUUUUUUUAAAAAUGUAUUUGUAGAGACCAGGUCUUGCUUUGUUGGCCAGGCUGGUCUUGAACUCCUGGGCUCAAGUGAUCUGCCCACCUCAGCUCCACAAAGUGAUGCUAUUACAGGUGUGAUCCACUGCACUUGAUCCAAAAUGUUUAAAUUACAUAAAUCACAAAUGCAGGCCUGGCACAAUGGCUCACACCUGUAAUCCCAAGACUUUGGGAAGCUGAGGCAGGCGGAUCACUUGAGGUCAGGAGUUGAAGACCAGCAUGAUGAAACCACAUCUUUACUAAAAACACAAAAGUUAGGCCGGGUGCUAUGGCUCAUGCCUGUAAUCCUAGCACUUUAGGAAGCCGAGGCAGCAGAUCACAUGAGGUCAGGAGUUCAGGACCAGCCUGGCCAACAUAGUGAAACCCCAUCUCUACUAAAAAUACAAAAAUUAGCCAGGUGUGGUGGCACAUGCCUGUAGUCCCAGCUACUUGGGAGUCUGAGGUAGGAGAAUUGCUUGAACCCAGGAGGUUACAGUGAGACGAGAUAGCACUACUGUACUCCAGCCAGAGGGUGACUCUGUCUCCAAAAAAAAAAAAAAACAAACAAAAAAAAAACCAAAGGCAAACCCUAACCCUAUUAAGAAGAAAAUGAGUCUGUUUCAUCUCCCCAGCCUCCUCACUGCCCCAUCAAUUUCCAGUUACAUUUUGUCACACAUUAUAUGGGAAAUUUCCCAGUAAUCCACAUUAUAGCCAAGAGUUUCAAUUAUGUUGCAUGACCUCUUGAUUUUAUUAUUAUUUUGUGAUUUUUUUUUUUUUUUGAGAUGGACUCUCUCGCUCUGUCACCCAGGCAGAGUGCAGUGGCGCGAUAUCUACUCACUGCAGCCUCCCCCUCCCAAAGUGCUGGGAUUACAAGCCUGAGCCACCAUGCCUGGCCUAUUACCUCAUCUUUUAAAGCUCACGUCUUACUAUCUAACCAAAUCUGCUGUUACCAUCAGUUUACUUACGCAUCUUUUCACGGUGGUGAUUGACACAGGAGGUAAAAGGGAAUAUUGAAGUGGAUUUAACAAUGUGCAAUGGCGGGAGGUGUUUCCUCGGGGGAGCCUGCUGACUCCUGUAACAGGAGGAUCUGAAGGGAGCUUUUUCUUUCUAGACUCCCCGUGUCCCCUGGGCAGUGGCCACAGCCACUUCAUUUUUCCGAAGCUCACCCUCUAAUCCAGCUUCCAUGAAGCACCCAGAGGGAUCUUCUCAAAAUAUUAUAUAAGAUCGUGUCACUCUCUGGCCUAAAACUGUUCAGUGGCUUCCACUGGACUUCAGUCCCUCAAACCCCUACCUGCCUCUCCAGCCCCAUUUGCCACCUCUUCCUAUCCCGUGGAUAAGAUUGAGUUCCUUAGUCUUCAAGCCCCUCAGUCUCCCUUGAGGCUCCGAAGGUCCCAGUCCUCUCUCUCAGGCUGCCUACAGCGCUUUCCUCUCCCCUACCAGGCUGACAGAUCCCACGGCCCUUCCAGGCCCACCUGAAAUGGCAUUUCCUCUACAAGCCUCUCCCUAAUUCUCAAGUUCACUCCAGAAAUGCUUGUGGAGCUCCUGCCCUGUGCCAGGCAUCGGACUAGGCCCGAACCCUUCGUGGAGAGCAUUGUAGAUGCUGGUGAUGGGGGCGGAGAGGUGGUGGGAGUCAAAUACUCACACUCAUGUUCUUAGAGGGAGAAUUGAGACUUGGCGCUGGCCGUGAGUGUGGCUAGGUGAAUCGGAAGAUUUAAAAGACAGCCAGUGAGGCUGGAGGGCAGAGAGUCAGGGGGCAGUUGGGAGUGGCUGGAAUUACCCUGGUAGUGCAAAGGUGUUGAGACCGGUUAAAAUUCUGGAGCUCCUGUGGAGGUAGAAUCGACUGGCAUUACAUGUUUGCCAAGCUACCUUCUCAUUCAGCCUCUGCUGUAGGUCUGCAAAUAAUCCAGUCCUGGUCCAGUGAGAGCUGUAUUUCUCCUUGAAGUUAAUACAUUUUUUAUAUGAAAAUUUUUAUUGUAAUAUAAUUCAUAACAGUAAUAGCCACCCUCUUAAGGGUACAGUUAAGUGGGGCUUUUUGGUAUAUUCACAAAGUUGCACAACCAUCACAACUACCUAGAACGUUUUCAUCGCCUCAAAAAGAGACCCCAUACCCAUUAGCAGCCACUGCCUAUUCCCCUCUGCCCCUGGCAACCACUAAUCUGCCCUCUGUCUACAGACUUGCUGAUUCUGGAUAUGUCAUAUAAAUGGAAUCAUAAAAUAUUUGGUAUUUGCAUCUGGCUUCUUUCACUUAGCAUGUUUUCAAAGUUCAUCUACGUUGCAGAUCAGUACUUUUUUUUAUUGCUAAGUAACAUUCCACUGUAUGGAUAUAUCACAAUUUGUUUAUCCAUUCAUCAGCUGAUAGACAUUUAGGUUGUUUUGCUUUUUCUUUAUUAUAAAUAAUGCUGCAGGGCUGGGUGUGGUGGCUUAACGCCUGUAAUCCCAACACUUUGGGAGGCAGAGGUGGGAGGAUCGCUGGAGCUCAGGAGUUUUGAGACCAGUGUGGGUAGAAUAGUGAGACCUCAAUUCUACAAAAAAUUAGCGCAGUGUGGUGGCAAGUGCCUGUAGUCCUAGCUACUUAGGAGGCUGAGGUGGGAAGAUCGCUUGAGCCCAGAAGGCAGAGAUUGCAGUGAGCUGAGAUCACGCCACUGCACUCUAGCCUGGGGAACAGAGCAAGACUGUCUCAUGAAAAAAAAAAAAAGUUGCUAUGAACAUUUGUGGACAAGUUUUGUUAUGGACAUGUGCUUUCAUUUCUCUUGGCUAUAUACCUAGGAGGAGAUUUGCUGGAUUGUAAGGCUACUCUGUGUUUAACCAUUUGAGGAACUGCCACACUGUUUUCCAAAGCAGUUGCACUAUUUAACAUUGCCAUCAGCAGCGUACGAAAGUUCCAAUUUCGGCUGGGUGCAGUGGCUCACGCCUGUAAUCCCAGCACUUUGGGAGGCCAAGGUGGGUGGAUCACGAGGUCAGGAGAUCAAGACCAUUCUGGCUAACACAGUGAAACCCUGUCUCUAUUAAAAAUACAAAAAAUUAGCCGGGCAUGGUGGCACGUGCCUGUAGUGCCAGCUACUCGGGAGGCUGAGGCAGGAGAAUCGCUUGAACCCAGGAGGCAGAGGUUGCAGUGAGCCAAGAUCGUGCCACUGCACUCCAGCCUGGGUGACAGAGCGAGACUCCAUCUCAAAAAAAAAAAAAAAAAAAAAGAAAAAGUUCCAAUUUCACUACAUCCUCACCAAUACCUGCUUUUCACUGACUCUUUUCUUUUUGCAGAGAUGGGGUCUCAUUAUGUUGCCCGAGCUGGUCUCAAACUCUUCAGUUCAAGCGAUCCUCCCAUCUCAGCCUCCUGAAGUGCUAGGAUUACAGAUGUGAGCCACUAUGCCCAGCCUUAGCUGACUUUUUAAUUAUAGCCAUUAUACUGGGUGUGAAGAUGUAGCUUUUUUUUUUCUGAGAUAGGGGUCUUGCUAUGUUGCCCAGGCUAGUCUUGAACUCCUAGCCUCAAGCAAUCCUCCUGCCUUAGCCUCCAGAGUAGCUGAGAUAGAUGUAGUUUAUUGUGGUUUUGAUUUGUAUUUCCCUGAUGGCUAAUAACGUUGAGCAUCUUUUCAUGUUCUUAUUCACUAUUUGUAUAUAUUUGGAAAAAUGCCCUUUGCCCAUUUUACAAUUGGCUUGUUUUUUUGUCAUCAGAUAGUAGGUCUUUAUAUUCUGGAUAUUAACUCUUUAUCAGAUAUAUGAUUUGCAAGUAUUUUCUCCUAUUCUGUAGAUUAUCUUUUCAUUUUUUUCUUGGCCAUUUAUUCUUAAACUUUUAUAUAAAUUUUAGGAUCAGCUUGUUGAUUUUUAGGAUCAGCUUGUUGAUUUCCACAAAAAUCAAUUCCUGAAAUUUUGACAGGAAUUGUAUAGAAUCUGUUUAUUAAUUUGGGGAGUAUUGUCAUCCUAACAAAAUUAAAUCUUCUGAUCCAUGAACAUAGGAAGUGUUUCCAUUUAUUAGGUCUUUAUUUCUAUGUUGUUUUGCAGUUUUGAAUGUUUGUCUUGCACUUCUUUUGUUAACUUUAUUUAUAAGUAUAAUGUUUCUUUUUGAUGCGGUUGUAAAUUGAAUUUUUUUUAAUUCAAUUUUUGAUUGUUCAUUGCUAUUGAUAGAAACACCCUUGAUUUUUACAUAUUGAUUUUGUAUCUUUUGUAUCUUGCUGAACUUUUUAUUAGCUCUAAUAGUUUUUUUUGUGUUUGUGUAUCCCGUUGGAUUUUCUAUACACAAGAUCAUGUUAUCUGCAAAUAGAGAUAGUUUUAUUUCUUUUUUUUUUCUUGCCUAAUUGCCCUGGAUGGCACCCCCAGUACAAUUUGAAUAGAAGUGAUGAGAGCAGAUACCUUUGCAUUGUUCCUGAUCUUAAAGCUUUCAGUCUUUCACACUGGGUUAGAUGUUUUUGUAGAUGCCCUUUAUCAGAUUGAGGAAGUACCCGUCUACUGUUUUGUUCAGUGUUUUGCUUUUUAUUAAACAUGAAAGGGUGUCAGUUUUUGUGAGCUCUUCCUGCAUCUGUUGAGAUAAUUAUAUGCCUUUUGUCCUUUAUGGUUAACACAUUUUUAUUUAUUUAUUUGUUUUGACACGGAGUCUCAUUCUGUCACCCAGGCUGGAGUGCAGUGGCACAAUCUCAGCUCACUGCAAUCUCCGUCUCCCGGGUUCAAGUGAAUCUCCUGCCUUAGCCUGCCAUGUAGCUGGGACUACAGUUGCAGGCCACCAUGCCCGGCUAAUUUUUGUAUUUUUGAUGGAGAUGGGGUUUCACCAUGUUGACCAGGCUGGUCUCGAACUCCUGGCCUCAAGUGAUCCGCCCACCUCGGCCUCCCAAAGUGCUGAGAUUACAGGCAUGAGCCACCAUGCCCAGCCGGUUAACACAUUUUUAAAAGCAGUUACCUAGACAGGGUAGAGAAGUAGGAACGAGGAAAAUGGAAGACAAGCGCAAGAGAGACUUUUAACUGUCUUUUAUUUAUUUUAUUUUAUUUUAUUUUGAGAUGAGGUCUCUCUAUAUGCAGUGGCUAUUCGCAGGCAUGAUCUGGCUUGGCUGGAAGUGGUAGCUCACACCUGUAAUCCCAACACUUUGGGAGGCCAAGGCAGGCAAAUCAUGUGAGGUCAGGAGUUCGAGACCAGCCUGACCAAUAUAGUGAAACCUUGUCUCUACUAAAAAUACAAAAAUUAGCGAGGUGUGGUGGCGCAUGCCUGUAAUCCCAGCUACUUGGGAGGCUGAGGCAGGGAAUUGCUUGAACCCAGGAGGCGGAGUUUGCAGUGAGCCAAGGUCACGCUAGUACACUCCAGCCUGGGUGACAGAGUGAGACUCUGUCUCAAAAAAAAAAAAAAAAAAAAAAAAAAAUGAUCUAGCUCACUAUAGCCUUGAACUCCUGGUCUCAAGCUAGUCUCCUGCCUCAGCAUCCUGAGCAGCUGGGACUAUAGGCACACCACAGCACCUGGCACCUUUUAUAAUUUUUGGUUUCUUGGAUGUAUUUAUUACACAAAAAAUUAAAUAAUAAUAAUUAUUAUUAUUUUGAGAUGGAAUCUCGUUCUGUCGCCCAGGCUGGAGUGCAGUGGUGCCAUCUCAGCUCACUACAAUCUCUGCCUCCCAGGUUGAAGCAGCUCUCCUGCCUCAGCCUCCUGAGUAGCUAGGAUUACAGCCACCACACACAGCUAAUUUUUCUAUUUGUAGUAGAGACGGAGUUUCAUCAUGUUAGUCAGGCUGGUCUUGAACUCCUGACCUCAAGUGAUCUGCCUGCCUUGGCCUCUCAAAGUCCUGGGAUUACAGGAGCGAGCCACCACUAAAUUAUCUUUAAAAAUUUUUAUAUAUGGUACUAGAUGUAUCCAUGAAAUAAAUAUUUUGAUAAAAUUAAAUAAAAUGUACUAUCUUAACCAUUUUUAAGUGUAUAGUUCAGUAUAGUCACAUUGUUGUGCAACCUAUUUCUAGAACUUUUUCAUCUUGCAAAACUGCAACUCUUGGGCUGGACACAGUGGCUUAUGCCUGUAAUCUCAGCAUUUUGGGAUGCCAAGGUGAGAGGAUUUCUUUUUUUUUUUCUCUGUUGCCAAGGCUGGAGUGCAGUGGCCCCAUCUCAGCUCACUGCAACCUCCGUCUCCUGGGCUCAAGCUGUCCUCCCACCUCAGCCUCCCAAGUAGCUGGGACUCCAGGAAUGCGCCACCACAUCUGGCUAAUUUUUGCGUUUUGUUUGUUUGUUUUUCGAGAUGGAGUUUUGCUCUUGUUGCCCAGGCUGGAGUGCAAUGGCGCGAUCUCAGCUCACUGCAACCUCUGCUUCCCAGGUUCAAAUGAUUCUCCUGCCUCAGCUUCCCGAGUAGCUGGGAUUACAGGUGCCCGCCACCAUGCCCGGCUAAGUUUUGUAUUUUUAGUAGAGACAGGGUUUCACCAUGUUAGGCUGGUCUCGAACUGCUGACCUCAGGUGAUCCACCUGCCUCAGCCUCCCAAAGUGCUGGGAUUACAGGUGUGAGCAACUGCACCCGGCAAAAUUUUUGUAUUUUUUUGUAGAGAAGGGGUUUUGCUAUGUUGCCUAGGCUGGUCUCAAACUCCUGAGCUGAAGUGAUCUGUCCGCCUUGGCCUCCCAAAGUGUUGGGAUUACAAGCGUGAGUCACUGCGCCCAGCCCAGGAGUAUUUCUUGAGUCCCCAGUAGUUCAAGACCAGCCUAGGCAACAUACAGAGACCUUGUCUCUACUAAAAAAAAAAAAAAAGAAAAAAAAAAAGAAAAAUUAGGUGAGCGUAGUGGUGCAGACCUGUAGUCCCAGCUACAUGGGAGGCUGAGAGGGGAGGAUCACUUGAGCCUGGGAGAUAAAGGCUGCAGUGAGCCAGGACUGCACCAUUGCACUCCAGCUUGGGUGACAGAGUGAGACGCUGUCUCAAAAAAAAACAAAAACAGAAAACAAAAAAAUACCCCUGAAAAUGUGUACCCAUUAAACACCUCCCAUCUCCCCAGCCCUUGGCAACCACUAUUCUACUUUCUGUUUCUUUGAGUUUGACUACUCUAGAUAUCUUCUAUAAGUGAAAUCAUACAGUAUUUUUUUGUAUGUGACUGUCUUAUUUCACUUAGCACAAUGUCUUCAAAGUUCAUCCAUGUUGUAGCGUGUGUCGGAUUGGAUUUCCUUUCUUUCUUCUCUCUCUCUCUCUCUUUCUUUCUUUCGGAGUCUCGUUCUGUUGCCCAGGCUGGAGUGCAGUGGCACAAUCUCUGUUCACAGCAACCUCCACCUCCUGGGUUCCAGCGAUUCUCCUGCCUCAGCCUCCAGAGUAGCUGGGUUUACAGGCGUCCACCACCACCCACGGCUAAUUUUUGCAUUUUUAGUAGAGAUGGGGUUUCACCAUGUUGGCCAGGCUGGUCUCAAACUCCUGACCUCAAGUGAUCCACCCACAUCGGCUUCCCAAAGUGCUGGGAUUACAGGAGUGAGCCACUGUGCCUGGCCUUCUAUUUUUAAUUUUUGAGGAACUGCCUUACUGUUUUCUCUGGCAGCUGCACCAUUUUACAUUCCCACCAUCAAUGCAUAAGGAUUCCAAUUUCUCCACAUCCUCACCAACAACUGUUAUUUUCCUCUUCCUCCUCUUCCUCUUCUUCCUCCUCCUCUUCCUCUUCUUCCUCCUCCUCUUCCUCUUCUUCCUUCUCCUCUUCCUCUUCUUCCUCCUCCUCUUCCUCCUCCUCUUCUUACUCCUCUUCCUCUUCUCUUCGACAGAGUUUCAGUCUUCUUGCCCAGGCUGGAGUGCAAUGGUGCGAUCUUGGCUUACCUCAACCUCUGCCUCCCAGGUUCAAGUGAUUCUUCUGCCUCAGCCUCCUGAGUAGCUGGGAUUACAGGUGCAUGUCACAACGCCCACCUAAUUUUUGUAUUUUUGGUAGAGACGGGGUUUCACCAUGUUGGUCAGGCUGGUCUCGAACUCCUGACCUCAGGUGAUCCACCCACCUCAGCCUCCCAAAGUGCUGGGAUUACAGACAUGAGCCACUGCGCCUGGCCCCAUCUCUCUUGACAAAAAAAAAAAAGCAGCAGCUCACAGUGGAGUGGGGAGACAUGCAUGAGCAUGCUCACCCAUGAGUGUUGUGCAGCUGGUGCAGUAGCACAAGGAGGAGGACCUGACCCAGCCUGGGGAUUACAGGGAGGACCCCAGGAAGGUGGUUUAGUCCUGAAGGACGAUCAGGAGGCCAGAGAUGGAGGGGGUCAUCUCAGGCAGGGGAAGGAGCACAAGAAGUGGUGGAGGUGGGACAGAGGCCAGCGGGCCCCCUGGAAGAAGAUGGAUAGUCCAGUUGGCUUGGAGUCUGGGCACAGGACCAGGACUAGGGUGAGAUAAGUGAGGCAGUUGUCUUGCACACAGAAUUUAAGGUCCCAAAGUCAGUGAUCAAUAUAAUAUUUUAGUGCAAUAUUUAAAAAUAAAAAUGCAAGAAAAUCCAUGAUGAACAAAAUAUCAAAUUUUAAAUGACACAAUCAGUGACAGUGCUGUGCAAGCCACAGUGCAUCCUGAGGCAAAAGAAAUGUCAGUGAUAGUGAUCUGUGUUCAUUUAAAAAUCUGAUUUUAAGCAGGACAUGGUGGUUCAUGCCUGUAAUCCCAGCACUUUGGGAGGCUGAGGUGGGUAGAUCACCUGAGGUCAGGAGUUCGAGACCAGCCUGGACAACAUGGUGAAACCCUGUCUCUAUUAAAAAUACAAAAAUUAGCCAAGCGUGGUGGCGGGCGCAGUGGCAGGCGCCUGUAAUUCCAGCUACUCAGGAAGCUCCCGCUUCAACCUGGGAGGCGGAGGUUGCAGUGAGCUAUGAUUGUGCCACUGCACUCCAGCCUAGGUGACAAAGCGAGACUCCAUCUCAAAAAAAAAAAAAAAAAAAUUAGCUGGGCAUGGUGGUGGGCGCCUGUAGUCCCAGCUACUUGGGAAGCUGAGGCAGGAUAAUUGCUUGAGCCGGGGAGACGGAGGUUGCAGUGAGCUGAGAUCGUGCCACUGCACUCCAGCCUGGGCGACAGAGUGAGACUCCGUCUCAGGGAAAAACAAAAACAAAAUUUAAAAAACACAUAAAAUAAAAUUCUGAUUUUGACUGGGCGCGGUGGCUCAUGCCUGUAAUCCCAGCACUUUGGGAGGCUGAGGAGGGAGGAUGACUUGAGCCCAGGAGUUUGAAACCAGCCUGGGCAACAUGGCAAGACCCCAUCUCUACAAAAAAUUAAAAGAUUAGCCUGGCAUAGUGGAACAUGCCUGUAGUCCCAGCUACUUGGGAGGCUGAGGUUGGAGGAUCCCUUGAGUUUGGGAGGCAG